rnacentral:rRNA from 1 species
CUAAUACCGGAUACGUUCUUUUCUCGCAUGAGAGAAGAUGGAAAGACGGUUUACGCUGUCACUUAUAGAUGGGCCCGCGGCGCAUUAGCUAGUUGGUGAGGUAAUGGCUCACCAAGGCGACGAUGCGUAGCCGACCUGAGAGGGUGAUCGGCCACACUGGGACUGAGACACGGCCCAGACUCCUACGGGAGGCAGCAGUAGGGAAUCUUCCGCAAUGGACGAAAGUCUGACGGAGCAACGCCGCGUGAACGAAGAAGGCCUUCGGGUCGUAAAGUUCUGUUGUUAGGGAAGAACAAGUACCAGAGUAACUGCUGGUACCUUGACGGUACCUAACCAGAAAGCCACGGCUAACUACGUGCCAGCAGCCGCGGUAAUACGUAGGUGGCAAGCGUUGUCCGGAAUUAUUGGGCGUAAAGCGCGCGCAGGUGGUUCUUUAAGUCUGAUGUGAAAGCCCACGGCUCAACCGUGGAGGGUCAUUGGAAACUGGGGAACUUGAGUGCAGAAGAGGAAAGUGGAAUUCCAAGUGUAGCGGUGAAAUGCGUAGAGAUUUGGAGGAACACC